rnacentral:snRNA from 1 species
UUGUUUGAUACGAUCAAAU